rnacentral:rRNA from 1 species
UAAUACGAAGGGUGCAAGCGUUAAUCGGAAUUACUGGGCGUAAAGGGAGCGUAGGCGGCUUUUUAAGUCGGAUGUGAAAUCCCCGGGCUUAACCUGGGAAUGGCAUCCGAUACUGGGGAGCUAGAGUUUGGGAGAGGGUGAUGGAAUUCCCGGUGUAGCGGUGAAAUGCGUAGAGAUCGGGAGGAACAUCAGUGGCGAAGGCGGUCACCUGGCCUAAAACUGACGCUGAAGCUCGAAAGCGUGGGGAGCAAACAGGAUUAGAUACCCUGGUAGUCCACGCCCUAAACGAUGAGAACUGGACGUUGGGAGGAAUUUGCCUCUUAGUGUCGAAGCUAACGCGUGAAGUUCUCCGCCUGGGGAGUACGCUCGCAAGAGUG